AUGCUUUGCCCCUGACCUCUUUUCCCUAUCUCUACUCCAAAUUUAGGUCAUAACAUAGUUGGGCCAUUGCUGUUUAAACAGAACACCCAGAAAGGCGUGCAAGCCAGGGCAAGAAGCAGCACUGAAUAUAAUCAGGGUGCAGAUUAACUAGAUGAAAACUUCACAUUCUAAGUGGCUACAACUAAAGACGAUCAUGGAUUUCUGAUGCUCUUAACCUCUGGAAAGAUGUUACACUUACUGAAGGUUAAUCACAUCUUUUGAUCCUGGGCUCCCCCUGUACUGUUUUAUACACGUCGCCUUCAGAAGCUUUCCUUAGCUUGAAAAGAACUGUGGAAGGAAAAAAAAAACAACCCUUUGGCCUAUUGGCCUGACAUUGGAGACACAAAUUUGAAUAUCACAUCAGACAAGCUAACUUCUUACUGGUCUGC